GCUCCAGGGACCCCCAGAGGGAGCGCUCGCAGGCCAGCAGGACCAAUAAGAUCGCCUCCCGCAUCUACCAGGCCCCCGUCCCCUUCAUGAGGAAGUCGCUCAGCGUGACAGGCCCCUCCAGAACCCUCUCCGGCUUCAUCCCACCACGACACUUCCUCAAGAAGUCCGUCAGCUUGGGACAGAGGUGGGAGCCCCUGGAGGAGCCGCGGCCGUACGUCUCCGAGAGGUACUACAGAGACGAGCUCCCCCAACCUGAGGUCAUGCUUAAGUCCUACAGCCUGGGCCGAAUGCCUCCAUCCUCUUACGGCAGACCCUCCUGGCAGGGUUUAGUACCGGUCCACCGCUCCGGUAGUGGUAGCCUAGAACGCCACCACCCCGCGGAACGCCACCACCCCGCGAAACGACAUCACCCCGCGGAACGCCACCACCCCGCGGAACGCCACCACCCUGCGGAACGACAUCACCCCGCAGAAAGGACUUACCCCUUAGACAGGCCCUACCCUGCAGACAGGCCCUACCCCUUAGACCGCCCCUACCCCACAGACAGGCCCUACCCUGCAGACCGGCCCUACUCCAUAGACCGCCCCUACAUGAUCCCCUCCUACGUUACUCAUGGCCCCCCCAUCAUGGAGCUCCCAAGGCAUGUCGACCCCCCCAUCUCCACCCACCGUGACUGGCCGGACCCUCGCCGACAGGCCGCGGUGUUCCCGGACGCGAUGCGGUGCCCACUCACCUACGAGGAAACCCUGAGGGCCGUGCAGCACAAAUACGUGCCCCUUGACCCCUCCUACCCCCACCUGCCACCCCGCCCGGGCACCAGGGUGGACUACCCUCACCCCGUAGACUCCCGACGCGGACCCCAGAGGACGGACUUGCCCCGGGGGUACAGCUGGCCUUCGCCCUACCACCCCAGCCCCUUCCCCCCCAGAGAGGUGGAGUACCAGCGGGAGGUGGAGCGGGCGCUGGGCGUGGGGAUGGUGCCCAGGGAGGUGGAGUACCUGCGUGAGAGCAGGGAGGGCAGGGCCAGCUACGCCAGCCAGAGCAGUGGGCGUGGCAGCGUGGGGCCCUACGGGCACAGCGGGCACCUGCGGCAGUCCAUCUCCAUGACGCCCACGCUGAUGAGCUCGCCCGAGACCACCGAGGACAGCCAGCGUCUGCGGGCCGACGCCGACCUUCGCCACAGGCGGGGACAAAGAAGGAACACGUCAGUGGAUGAGAGUUAUGAGUGGGACACCGUGGAGCAGUCAGUGGACCCCGAGGACCUGGGGGCCGUGAAGGGGGAGCAGACUCAGGCUCGGGGGGACCGGGGCCAGGAGCCCCACAGGAAGCCCCCCUGCUCCUCCCCGGACCCCCAGGACCCUCACAGCAAAGGUGAGAGGACCUCUGAAAAGCUGCGUGUGUGUGUGUGUGUGUGUGUGUGUGUGUGGUUGUGUGUGUGUGUGUGGUUGUGUGUGUGUGUGUGUGUGUGUGUGUGUGUGGUUGUGUGUGUGUGUGUGUGUGUGUGUGUGUGUGUGGUUGUGUGUGUGUGUGGUUGUGUUUAAAUAUGUGCUGUAGUUUAUCUUGUGUGCCCUCUGUGCCUCGUGAUGACAUCAGCUGACCCACAUAAUUCCCCUUCAAUCCUUUAUCCUUUGCUCUCCUCUUUGUUAUCCUCCUCUUCCUUCCUUUCCUCUUCUCUCCUCUUCUCUUCUUCCCUCCUCUCCUCUCUUUUCCUCCCCUCGCCCCUUUUGUUCUCCCAUCCUCUAUCCCCACCUCUCCUCUCUCCUUCUGUUCUCCCCUCCUCUCCUUCUCUCCUCUCUCCUUCUGUUCUCCCCUCCUUCUCUGUUCUCCUCUCCCCUUCUCCUCUCCUCUCCUUGUCCUCUCCUCCUCUGCUCUCCCCCUCUGUUCUCCCUCUCCCCUCCUCUCCUUCUCCUCUGCUAUCCUCUCACCUCUUUCUCCUUUCCUCUCCUCUUCUGUUCUCCUCUCCUCUCCUCUCCUCUCCUCUCCCCUUCUGUUCUCCUCUGCUCUCAGGCCUCUCUCCAACCGUCAGUCCUCCAACCGUAUCCCAUGCUCCUCAAAGUCAGUGCAGCCAUUCCCUGAGCGAGGCUCGCUUUAACGCCUUGCGUCAGGAAUACCAGGAGUACCGUCGAGCCCAGGACUGCUCCUACUCCAGAGAACCCUUCUACCCUUCCUCAGACCCCGAGUCCGACUCCAACUCCGCCCUGCUCUGAGAGUACCAUCCCUGCCCCGCCCCGCCCCUCCCCGCCUGGUC
rnacentral:lncRNA from 1 species